UCCAUUAGUAUUUUCUAAUAAAUUUUAUAUUUAAAGAAUAAGAAGAAAAGAAAAAUAAUAAACAGGAAAAAACGUUCAACAAAAGAAAAGAAAAGGGAAAAGAAACGUACAAAGAGAAGGAAAGAAAAAAAAUAAAAAAAUGGAAAAGAAACACACGUAUAAAGUGGGAGGAAAAAUGGGAAAAAAUUCGUAAAAAUUAGUCUUCAUCCUUAAAGAACUUUCAU
rnacentral:lncRNA from 1 species